UACUUUAUUUAAAGUGCCACUAACCCCCUAAAUUUUCUUUUCAUAAAAUCAAUAACCGCUAUUUAUGGAGUACAAAAAUGAAAAAAUUUUUUUAAUCGGUUGAAUUCUCGCUAUUCUAUGGCUUCUCAAAGUUUGAAAAAUUGCCCUAAAAUCGACGCCAUUUUGUCCCACGAGCGAGCGCCGAUGAUCUGGGCUUGUGACGUCAAUUGGUGAACCGGCUGUUGUGUCAACACAAGUGUUUACAGUGCUAGGCGAGUUUGUUAGGCAUGCGAGCGGCGAGAAAAUGCCGAAAAGAUGCGUUGUUGCCGGUUGUAACAACAUAGGAGAUAAGGAAAGAGAAAUAUCGUUGCAUGCAAUUUCUUAUUCGGGGGACGAACGGCCCGAAGCGAAAAAAAACGAAAGAAAUGGACUGACUUCGUACUAAGCCUCAAACGUGCAAAAUGGACGCCGACGUCGUAUUCAGUCAUAUGCUAUGAGCAUUUCAAGCCCGAGGAUUUUUUGCGACGGUUUGCCCAUGUCGAAGGUGAAAGCUUCGUUGGCAACAGAUGGCUCAAAAGGGACGAGAUCCGAAUUUGUGUAUUCCCAACAAUCAUGCCAUCAGCUGACGCACAGAAAGUUUCAGACAGAUACAAGAGAAUGGUAUGCUAAUUUUGUAUUUUAUACAUAAUUGUGCGUAACUUGAAUUUGUUUGACUAAACUGAUUUAAUUAAUAAACAUAUCAUUAUAUAACAUGCUAACACUUAAACUGAUGUACAGUAAUUGGAUAAAGCAUAUAAGAAAGACAAUUUCGUUUAUUCUGUGAGAGCUUUCUUUGUCAUUUCUGUCUUCAGCCUUGCAGAUUUUUGUAAUUUCCGUGUGCAAUUUGAUACAGUAUUAUACAGUGAUAUAAUUCUCCAUCUAUGUCUCUUGCUAUGCGUAUGUUUUAGUGAAGUCAAUAUGCCCACUAUGACCCAUAGGUGUGUAUUUUAAGGAUGUCUCAGGAGGGUAUCAUAUUUGACUGUCAAAAUAAUUAUAGUGAAAUAUUGAUCAAUGCAUACCAUGUACCCAUGCAUAUAUAGAUAUUUUAUUUUUCCAUUAUACAGUUACAGUUUUGAUAAAAUAUAAAGAUACAAUUCAUAUGGAAGGAAGACUAACAAGCCCGUCAGGGCUUUUCUAGUAGUCCACCCUAAAAAAUUUAAAAAACAAACUAAUAUAACAAAGGAGAAUAGUGUCAGAUAAUGUCAGGUUCAAGAUAUAUGAGGUCCACUAAUACAAAUUUACAGAUUAUGUCGAAGAAAUAUUUCAAACUUUUCUCAAUGUUACCAAAGAUGAUCUUAAAAAGGCAGCCAAGCAACUCAAAGAGUACGGUGUCUUUGCAAAGUGUUGCCCACUGCCUAUGGCCCAUAGAUAAGUUACCCAGUAUGCUUGCUGUUAAUUUAAAUCUUUUUGUUACUGUAGUUUCACUACUACGUUGUUGAACAGAGCCAAAAGAAGUCUAAAGGAGCACCAAAAUGCAGGGCAUGUGAACAACCCAUGAAAGGACACAAGUUUGUUACAGACUGUCCAAGGAAUGAAAGGAGCACAUCAUAGUGUAUUAUAUGGAUAAGGCAUUUGAGGAAGGAGGGCAUAUUGGGAGGUGGUUUUUUUUUCAGAAGGGCAUAUUAGGAUUAUUCAGGAUGUUGGGGAUUUAUAAUAGAGAUUGGGGCUUAUAUUACAGCAGGAAGGGUUUUAACAGAGGGGAAAUAUUUGGAAGGGUGGUGCUUAUUACGGAUGGAGCUUACUAGGGAGGGUGGUGCUUAUUAGGAGAGGACUCAAUAGAGUGGGUACUUUAUAAGGAGGGUAGUGCUUAUUAGGGGGGGGGGCUAAUAGAGAGGGUGGUGAUUAUUGUGGGAGGGGCUUAAUAGCAGAGUGCUUUAUAGGCAGGGUGGUGAUAUUUGUUAAAUAAAUUAUAUUAUGCACUACUUGUAUCAAGUUUUUUCUACUUUACUUCUUUUCUAUCCCUGAUGAGCACUAGUCAAAACUGAUUUAUGUUGAUACCAAAUAUGUUCCAUAUAGGUUUCAUUAGAGUAUAAUAUUUAAAUAGUACAGUAAAACCCUGCUUUACAAAAGAACCAGUUCAGACUAGAAUUCCAAAACAGCUUCUUAUUUUAUCGAAGAAGCAAAAAAUUAAACAUCAAUUAAAGAAAAUAAGCUCUUUAUAAAAUAAUGGAAACACUGUUAUUUUGUAAACAUCUACGGUAGGUUCUUAUACGAUGGGUUUUACUGUAUGUUAGCUUAGUCAUUAAUGAUUCAUCUUUUGUGAGAGGGCAUGUCUUCCUUAUUGCAUGGUAUGCACAUGCAGCAGUGGGAUUCUUGUUUUUCCAAUUACACCAUACACCAUCCUUGUAAACUUUCUGUAUGCCACACUAUGUAAAAACCUAGAAGAAAUGAACAACUUUAUCAUAAGUAAUCAUAUGUAGACAAAUGCAAAAACUAUUUCAAUAAAAUAGUAUUUUAUAUUACAAAGAACAACCCAAACUAUAAUAGCUAUAUAUAGAAACUAUACAUGUACAUAUAGUUCCAGAUUUUGGUUACACCAACAUUCAUUUUUGAGAUGUUGAUGCUUAUUGGAGACAUUGGUCAUGGAACAGUGUGUACCCCCAUAAAUAUAUCCCUGAAAGAGGAUAAAGCUCUAUAUAUUGAACAGUCUGUUUAGUCUUUACAUUUUUACACAAAUUUUGGAAACAAUAGACCUUACCAUUUAUUCACUUUUGACCAAA
rnacentral:lncRNA from 1 species